UUUCCAAAUAUAACAAGAGAGAUAUUAGCUCUGUAAGAGAAAAUUCUGCAGGCAACAUUCUUGGCUUCCCAUAUUUUCUAACGGUAUGGUCAUCUUGAUGGGAGUUUAGAGUCUAUAUUACCUAAGCUUAUUCAAUAAUGAAAAUUUGAAUUUGGAGAGGGUGCUCAUCCAGCUGUACUCCAAAGGAGCAGAGAGCUAGGAGGGAGAUUUUAUAUUUCAGGGUCUCUUACCUGACAGGUAGUGACAUCGGAGAGGCCCUGGGAGAUCUUGGAGAAAGACCUCAACUUAGGGUAGGAGGGUUCUUGACAACAGUCAUGAGAAAGAAUUCACGGACUAGUCAUAUAGUAGCAGGGGAAUUUAAUGAAAAGUGAAAGUACACACUCAAGAGGGGAGUGUGGACGUGCUGGUACAGGCAGGACUUGUGCCUCCUGGGGAUACGGGUGCUGCUUUAUCGAUGCCAGGCUGCCCCGCUUCUUCCCCCUUCAUGUAAAUGAGGACUAGUAAGUCCAAUGUUCUGCGUUAAACUGGGUGGGCAGGGAGUCCACCCAUCCCGCCUACCUGAUGAAACCCUACAUCGUCUCGGGAUUCUUCGGACUCCAGUGUUGUUUCAUGAUUGGUAGGACGCGUCCUGCGCUUGGACUGCGCUGGGAAGUGUGAAGGUUGCGUCUGAGACCCAGCCAGACUCGCCCCAAUUGUCUUUGCUUUUUCCCUUUUUCUGACUUCGAUCCCUUUCCGCCUAGAAAACGUUCUCAACAUCAGAAAACGCACACUGACGGCAGCAACGCCAGACUCCUUUUUUAUGGGCACUCCUUGAUCCAUCAGCCUUCCCGGGAGCUGGAGCUGUGGUAUCAGAAACCUUUCCGCCAUCAUCCAUUCUACAUGCACCGGGCAGGAAAAAGAAAAAUAGACACCCAAACUGAUCCUCACUGGGUUGAAAACAAAUGGAAAAAACAAGACAUCUACUUAGAAGCAGACAGCCAUGACAGGGAGGUGGGAUCUCUUUGUAAAACCUGGCCUAUGGCAGAACCAUGCCAGAGAAUAUGGAGCAGCACAAUCUGCUUCCAAGGCGUUCCUGUGAAAGCAAGGAUGCCCUCUAUGAGGAAGGCAUUAUAUGUGGCAAUGAGCAGGGAACUGCCAUGCUGUCAGAGCAAUGCCCUGUAGUGGCAGGAAACACACAGACCUCAAAGCCGGACUCUGGCAAAAUUAGGUUGGGUAAAGAAAUGAAGGGUUAUGGGGUUGCUCCCAGAAUCCAGUCACCUUCAGAUAAAGUAAAACCAGGAGAUAAGGCAUUAGAGGUCGAAAUCCCCUGAGGUCAGGAGGGUGCAAGUCAGCUGAAGAUGUGCUUGAGGAGUGGAGUGACGAGGAGUGGGAACCACUGGACCUCUGCAAGGAAGCUGCUCUUGACUUGAGCCUGCAGCCCCAGGCUCAGCACCCCUCAGUGAUGGAGAAAGAAAACUAAACACCAGUAUUGGGAGCCAUGGUUCCCCUCAGGAAUUCCUUCCUUCACCUACCUGGCUGGCCAGUUUUGACCAUUUUAUCAAUAGAGGGGUCUCCUGUAAUAUGAACAUGUUUGAGAAAAACUUGUACAGGAUGAUGCACCUGAGAAAUAUCUUACUUGGUAUAGAAAGGCUUCAAGAAAGUCUUGGAAAUCAUGCUCUGGCAUGGUGACAAACUUGGGUGAAAAGAAGGAUUAUA
ensembl:lincRNA